AUGCAACGCGCAGAACUUUACCAGCUCUUGACAUGGGAAGUAUGGGGCCGUGAAAGCGGUUCCUUCAGUUCGGCUGGCUUCCACACAGGUGCUGCAUGGCUGUCGUCAGCUCGUGUCGUGAGAUGUUGGGUUAAGUCCCGCAACGAGCGCAACCCUCAUCCUCAGUUGCCAUCAGGUUAAGCUGGGCACUCUGAGGAAACUGCCGGUGACAAGCCGGAGGAAGGCGAGGAGGACGUCAACUCCUCCUCUGCCCUUAUAGGGUUGGGUACACACACGUGUUCCAAUGGCGGAUACAGUGGGACGUGAAGGGGCAACCCUGGGCCAAUCUCAAAAAUCCGUCUCAGUUCAGAUUGCACUCUGCAACUCGAGUGCAUGAAGGUGGAAUCGCUAGUAAUCGCGGAUCAGCACGCCGCGGUGAAUACGUUCCCGGGCCUGUACACACCGCCCGUCACACCGUGGGAGUUGGUUUUACCUGAAGCCGGUGCGCUAACCGCAAGGAGGCAGCCGUCCACG
rnacentral:rRNA from 1 species